rnacentral:lncRNA from 1 species
UCACACAAUGUCAGUUAACCGUGUUUCGUGUAAAAAAUGAUGUUGAACUAAGUUGACCGAUUCAAUGGGUGGCCUAACGUAUUCGAAACGAGAUGGAUUUUUUUCAGUAGACCUGUUUAAUUACCAUGACUAUAUCAAACGGUUAAAUUUUUAUUUUCACAUAUUUAUGACUUCGGAGAGUCACAUGCCUACUAAUGUGAUAUAACUUAUUUAGUAGGAUAUAUGCAAGUGUACAGCUUUGUGAACCAAUUAUACAAAGAAAACAAAAUUUUCAAAAUUUUUGUGAAAUAAGAUGUGAUCGGAAUAAUGAAAUACGACUAUGGUUGAAAAAUUACGUAUAUCGGGUAACGUCUGGGUCCCGAUAGAAGCGGUCAACCAUUUUUACGCUUAAUAUAACCUAUGGAGCCCUAUCGUCGGGACGUAAACGUCUCCAAAUUUUUACAUGGGUAAUUACGUCACAUCUAUGUGAGAGUUUAACGUGUGGAAGGAUCGACCAAAUUUGGUCACAGAGAGGCAGUUAAGAGCGUUUCCGUGUGAUAAGUGACGAUGGAGUAGGGUUGACCGCUUCGAUCNNNNNNNNNNNNNNNNNNNNCGUAGUGUAGCACCGCAUUAAGGCGUGACGUGAGCGUAGUAGCCCUAUAUAGACCCAUGAAUUUAUAUAGGGAGUAUGGACGAGUGUAAAUACAUACAUAUAUUAUAGAGUCUAAGAGGCUCGAUAUUUUAUGGGAUAAAAGUUUUAUCGCUUGCAGCAUGCAUUCGAUUUUUCCUUAGAAAUUAAUUUGGGGAAACAUAAAUAUUUUAUUUAUUAUUUUAUUUUUGUCCACUCACUCUAACGUUAUUAAAUGUUUUCCCCUGGGCCCUUCGUUUUAAAUUGCCCAGUCUGCAGAGUUCGGGUUGGAUCUAGUAGGAGACGAGGCAUAGUCACCCGCAUUUCUGCCAGUUUUCGCCAGUAGGUUACCUGUUCAACCUACUCGUGUUUUCUUGCUUCCGCUUGUGUUUAAUAGCUCUGAAUACUUUGGGAUUAUUGUAUAUUAUGUGAGGUUCGGAAGUGUUGAAUUAAGAGUGUAAUAUGAAAUUUUCGAGUUAGGGUUGUCCAUCUGCAAGGGAGAUUUUCUUAAUCUUUUCAGUAAAUUUUCCUUGGAGGUGGUCCCCGCACGACUUACUCUGGGUUUCAAGGUGAAAUUCGGGGUGGGUCGUGUCAAUAAUGAUCACAUCAGACGGUCAAAUUUUUAUUUUGUGAAUUUUAGUCAUUGGAUUACAACGUGCCUACUAAUGUAGUAUAACUUGUUUAAUAGGUUAUAGACAAUUGUACAACUUUGUAAACCAACUAUACAGAUAAAGAAAAAUUUUAAAAAAAACUCAUGGAAUAAGAUGUGAUCGAAAUAAUGAAAUACAAUAAUGGUUGAAAAAUCACGUACAUCGGGUAACGUCUAGGUCCCGAUAGAAGCGGUCAACCAUUUUUACGCUUAAUAUAUCCUAUGAGAGCCCUAUCGUCGGGACGUAAACGUCUCCAAAUUUUUACAUGGGUGGUUACGUCUCAUCUAUGUGAAAGUUUAACGUGUGGAAGGAUCGAUUAAACUAGGUCAUAAAAAGGUAGGUAAGAGCGUUUCCGUGUGAUAAAUGACGAUGAAUUAGGGUUGACCACUUCGAUUGAGCCCCGAACGUUGCCGAAUACAAUUGAAAUUAAUACCAUAGCCAUGUUUCACUAUAAUGAUCACAUCAAACGGUCAAAUUUUCAUUAUGUGAAUUUUAAUCAUUAGAAUUGCAACAUGCCUACUAAUGUGUUAUAACUUGUUUAAUAUGUUAUAUUCACAUGUACAACUUUGUCAACCAACUAUACAGAGAAAGCAAAAAUUUCAAAAAUUUCAUGAAAUAAGAUUUGAUUGGAAUAAUGAAAUACGACUAUGGUUGAAAAUCACGUACAUCGGGUAACGUCUGGGUUCCAUUAGAAGCGGUCAACCUUUUUUUAUGCUUACGGGAGCCCUAUCGUUGGGACGUAAACGUCUCCAAAUUUUUUACAUGGAUGGUUAAGUCUCAUCUAUAUGAGAGUUUAACGUGUGGAAUGAUCGACCAAACUAGGUCACAGAGAGGCAGAUAAGAGCGUAUCCGUGUGAUAAGUGACGAUGGAUUAAGAUUGACCGCUUUGAUCGAGCCCCGAACGUUGCCGAAUAUAGUUGAAUUUAAUACUAUAACCAUGUUUCACUAUAAUGAUCACAUAAAACGGUCGAAUUUUCAUUUUGUG